CAUCCUGUCUUCACGAGCUUCCUCUAGAAGAUGUGCGCAGAGUCUUUCUAAGUCACACUCAUAAAAAAUUCAAAGAAAAGGAAUCAUACUUUCAUUGAUAAUGAAAUCAAUAGAGAGAAUGAUACUGAGCUCUUACAUUCGAUUAGAUGCGAUAAUCUUAUCCUCUAAUUGCUUGUAAGAGCUGAUGACCAAUGGAUCAUCCUCUAUUGAUCUCUUCAUCAAUGAAAGGUAUGAUUCCCUUUCUUUGAAAUCACUUUUGAAUGUGACUAAGAAAGCCUCUACGUACAUCUUCUCCGCGGAAGCUCAUGAAAACAAGGUAG